rnacentral:rRNA from 1 species
UACGGAGGGGGCUAGCGUUGUUCGGAAUUACUGGGCGUAAAGCGCGCGUAGGCGGGCUGUUAAGUCGGGGGUGAAAUCCCGGGGCUCAACCCCGGAACGGCCUCCGAUACUGGCAGCCUCGAGGUCGGGAGAGGUGAGUGGAAUGGCGAGUGUAGAGGUGAAAUUCGUAGAUAUUCGCCGGAACACCAGUGGCGAAGGCGGCUCACUGGCCCGAUACUGACGCUGAGGUGCGACAGCGUCGGGAGCAAACAGG